UAAAAGUAUUUACAUUAAUCUUAUAGUACAUGUGUACUAUGUUGUGGAUAAAAAAUGUCAUAAAAUAAACAUAAGGGAGACCUAGCAUCCAGCAAAAGGGAGAAGAAGAAAAAACGGGCACCUAGACACAUAGAAGCGGGAUUAGGCGGACAUUGACGGAUUGGAAUUACACUUUAAAGAUCUUUAAGAGCAGUAGUAGUCAAAAAAAGCCAAAAAGAGGUAUACGAGCUGAGCUGAGGAGUGCUAAUACACACACACACACGCUCGUACAGUCAAGGGCGGGCAAGUAGACACAACAUACACACACACUCUCUUCCUCAUACACACACAUGAAUAACUUUAAUAAAAUCUUAUAGUAAUAGAGAAACUCUAUAAAAAAAACAGAAUAGUAGGAUAUGCAGGACAGUAGAACUGUAAUGAUAUUAAGAAGUUGGAAGUACAGUAAACCACUUUUCAAGUAGUAUAAAUAUAUAUAAAAUAAGAAAUAUAGUGCAAAUAUGAAAAUAAAUUAUUAUUUUCAUAUUCAUAUAAUAUGAAAAUAAAUUAUUAUCCCCCCCGAGAUAACGAUAAGACCAAGGUCCCUCCCGGUUGUUUAGUCGUCUUGUCUACGUCAUUUUAUUUCCCUAGGUAAUUGAGAAUCCUGGUUUCUGACCACCUAAGGUAAAUGAGAAUCCUGGUUUCUGAUUCUCUGUGUAAUUCAAAACUCUGGGUUUUUAUUUUCUGGGUUAUUAGAAAUGCCUGGGUUCUGAUUCUAUGUGUAAGUGAAAUAGGCCUUUUCUGGAAACAUAUGGGUUAUCUAGUGUGUAAAUACAGUAUAAAUACUGGAGCUUAAGCUCAGGGUAUUGGGAUCACUUUUGAGAAUUCUCAUCGGUGUGGAUCUCCUGUGGUGGAAUGGAACAAUAAAGCUGGACCCUUGCUUCUUCUCACUCACGGCUGGUGUAUUUUUUCUAUCUCCAACUGGGCUCAGAGGUAGAUGUGAGUAUUGGCUUCUAAGUUGAGUUUUAAAUGUUUUUGGGUAAUAGGCUAAAUUUGAGCCAACAUUUGGCACCCCAGAUGGGACUGGGCUAAGAUCUACAUGUCUGGAAUCUCUCCCGUGGGACUUCACUCUCUAAGCAACAGACAGGCCGUAUAGGAAAAGGCAUUGCAGACGCCUGUUAUUUCAAAGCUCUGUUUUAGUGGUCUGUUGCUACGACUGAGAAGCCCCGGGGUGGGAAGAAAGACUAAGUGGGUCUCCAAAAGAACCUUGAGUGAGUGAGAAGAGGUAAGACAAGUGUAGAUUGUAGAAGAUUGUACUUAUUGUAAUUGUAUAAGGUUCAUAAGACUGUGUAAGGAUAUGGUAUAUGUGUUGUGUGAGUGAAAGUCCUGCAAUACCGCUGGAGGAAGGGAAAAAAGGUAGAAAAAAGAGAAGAGAAAUAGAGAAAUACUCCAGGGCGGGGAUAGAAAGCAGGUGGAAAAUGAGGCCUCAGACCCCAGAUACCGGCUACUAGACUAGACUAGCAGUCUAGUGGCGGCUGCAUUGGUGGGGACCCCUAAUACCGCUGGAAAAGGAUUAGAUAAAAGAUAGAUAGAUUAGAUUCCAGGGCUGGAUAGAGAGGGGAAUAAAUCCUGGGCCCAGGUCCGGGUCGUGCAAUACAGCAUGCCCGGUGUAUGAAUGGAAUAUGUACUAACAAAUGUGUGUGCUUAAAAUAUAUGUGCUUAUAAUAUGUAUAAUAUGAGUGUGGUGUGAGAGCGUGUAAGUUUUGGAGACAGGGAAAAUGUAUUUAUUAGUGCUCUGAACAUGAGCUCCAUACCUAAAGUAUUGGAUAAGUUGGAUAAGAUUUAGAGAAAAGAAUUUUUUUUUUGGAGAAAGUUGGAUUUAAUUUGUAUGACUGUAAGCUUCAUGCAUACGGAGCUGGUAAAACUUCAUGUAGUAACAUAAAUAAGUGUAAUAAUGUGGAAUACAAUGUGUGUAUGGGAGCUUGCCGGCGUUGUUGAUAGAAAGGAGGGGUGUAUGUGUGUGUUCCUGUCUGUUCUUAUCUGUGCGUUUGUGUGGAAGGGGAAAAAAAAAAUAAGGGAGAAGAAGGUAAGACCAUUCGGUGUGUGUGUGCUUUUCAGAGUGAUUUUGGUAAGGCAGAGCAUUGUGAGAUAUCUUGCGGUCUUCGAAUGUUUUGAAUCCGUUGAAUCCGGUACAUACUUUUGAUUGUGUGAUCCAGGGAAAAAGGAAGACUGAAGGCGGAAAAAAAGUGUGCAUUUUCAGGCCCCAGAAGCCACUGUUAAGAAAUGAGUGAGUCCGACGCUCGAAAUGUGGAGGAGAAAGUCCAUUUGGACCUUUCAUUUAUAUUCCAUUUAUAUUUAUAUUUCAUUUCAUUUAUAUUUGUAGUAUUUUGGUAACUAUUGUUAUACAACUUGAAGUUAGUAAAUUAUAUAAAAAAAAAUUGCGUUCACAAUUAUGGUAAAUAAGUACAUAAGACUUAAAUUCCUUUUAAAUAAUGUGGAAAAACUAGUUGGAACAACAUUAUUUCUCUGAGUAAUCAAGUUAAAAACUUGUGUUUAUUAUACAGAUUAUUAAAUGAGUUUUAAUGGAAGACAUUUGACUGUAGAGGAAAAGGUGAUUUCUCCAACUCAAUGUGCUUCAUUGGUUGAAAUUAACUUAAAGUUGUCAUAACUCAAAAAUGAUGGGUGUUUUGCAAAACUGUCUGUGUGGUUCGCCUAAAAGAGUUUUAUGUGUGUUUGUUGUUUGUUUAGUAUUAUGGUGUUACUGUGCGUGUUCCAAGUUAGGAGGGAGGGUCUCCUUCCGGCCCGGCUCCUCAGUCUCCUGGCAUGACACCAGACUGGAUUGAGACCGUGUUGCGCAGAUUGUACACAGUUCCAUGUUUAGAUGGGAUACGCGGCUGGUCAGAAUCAUGCGCGCCGGAGCUCCAAAUCAUUCUUUUCAUUUUAAUUUGAAUUCCGUGUGUUUCCCUGUUUGGAAACUGAAUGAAAGUGUUUUGAGUUCCAUGGUGACGGUUAUCUAAACCAGAGAUAUUCGUGCGAGAGAUUUCUGUUUCUUCCCCUUUUUCCAAUCCUUUAGUUAUCUCACGCCCUAUAUUAAAGUCAAAGUGAUUCAAUAUAUAUAUAUAUACGUAAAUAUAUUCCUGUAAAAAUUAAAAUCAACCAGCAUGUCUCGAUGGUAUCAGUCCGGAGAGAACUUUAAUAAUAGUUUAUAUGGUGUGCAUUGUGCCACAUAGUUUCUUCUGCACAGACAUCUUUGCCUGACUAAUGAUAAAAUUGAUCAGCUGACAUGUGAACCUGUUCGUUUUGAGUGAUAUUAAUAAAAAACCCUGAAAAGUAAAACCGACCCGAGGUAACAGUCUCUGGCUGAUCACAAUGUGGUCCGUAUCAGGCUAGGUCACAUCCUCCCUGUUGAGAUAAUGUUGAGCCUAAACAUUUGGUUUUAGAGAGCAGUCUACCUUCAUGAACUGACUCGCUAACAAGAGCUGGAGUAACCAUAACUAAUUUGUGUAUCGGUGAUUGUUAUACGGGUACGUGUCUAUACAAUAUCUUAAGCAGUGUAAAUGCGAAUUCUUCUGGCGUGUGGUAUUCAUGUUGUAUAAUGCUGAAUAAUUUCUGCAUGUUUUCUCUUUAAAUGCUGGAUAUGUCCAAUGAUAAGUAAUUAGUAAGAUCAGAUGGCAGUAGCAGUCUGCACAUUUUAAACUCUCUGUAAAGUGUUGUACGCCUGUUACAGAUGUGAUAUCUGAGUCCGUAGCAUUAGAAAAAGGUGAUGAUUACUUAAUGUGGAAUUCGGGUUUUGCAGGGAGUACGAGUAUCUGGAUUAGACAGCCUUGCAUAAUGGUUCCUUUUGCCGACAUGUUGUGCUGAUAUGAGUUUGGGAGGUAGUUUAAUUACGGUCCCUUUACAAUAGUGUAGUUUGAAGUGUUUUUUUUCCUGAACCGUAGAUUGGUGAAUAGAGUAGAGUAGUUAUGCAAAUAUAUAUGUGUGGGUGUGUAUAUGUAUGUGUAUGUGUGUGUGUGUGUGUGUAUAUAUAUACAUAUGUGCUAUACGGUGUGCUAUGGAUAUGUCAUAUAAAGUAUACGAGUUACAAUAUUUAAAUAAUACAAAGCAGUGGUCACAAACUCGAGAAAGGGAGGAUAUACUACACAACCUGUGAAGUGAAUUGAAUUGAUAAUACGUUAUACAGCAGCUGAGAACUGAUAAAAACUGAGAGCUGAGAACUGGAUGCAGG